GGAGAUCACAGGGCAGGAGAAGGCCAGAGAGAGGUGGCUUCUGAGGCCUUCCAAUCUCCUUUGGUUCAAAGUACUCAACAUUCCAAAGCAUUAUACUUUGGGGUAUAGUUUUCUGAGCCCCAACGGCAACUUUCUUAUAAACUUUUUUUACAACACCAAACAGAGCCAGCAUUAUCUUUUGAGAGACACAAGGAGAUGGCUGACAUUCCCUGCAACCUGAGUGAAUAUAUCCAGAAAACUUAUAAGACAAAAACUGCACAAGUUACUGGGUGUCUGAAGAUGUCAGGAGGCAACAUGGAAUUUUUAAUGUGCUGGAAUGUAAAAGAACCACUUGCUGAGAGGAAAAGAACUGGAACUCGGCUAUUCAGAAAUAAACUGUGAAGAAAAGUGACCAAAAGCUAUGACACAAAAGAGGCACUAAUUUCUAAACGACAAAUCCUAAGAUGUAUUGCUCUAGACCGAUCCUCUGUCAGAACAAGAUUAAAUGGAUAACCCAUUUGGUCUUUUCCAUCUCUAGCUCCUUUUUAUUUCCACUUCCAUUGUUCUAUGAAUAUACAAGAAAGGG
rnacentral:lncRNA from 1 species